UACAGAGGUCCCAAGCGUUGUUCGGAUUCAUUGGGCGGAAAGGGUGCGUAGGCGGCGCGGUAAGUCGGGUGUGAAAUCUCGGGGCUUAACUCCGAAACUGCAUUCGAUACUGCCGUGCUUGAGGACUGGAGAGGAGACUGGAAUUUACGGUGUAGCGGUGAAAUGCGUAGAUAUCGAGAGGAACACCUGCGGCGAAGGCGGGUUGCUGGGCUGAUACUGACGCUGAUGCGCGAAAGCCAGGGGAGCGAACGGG
rnacentral:rRNA from 1 species